rnacentral:rRNA from 1 species
GAUGAACGCUGGCGGCGUGCCUAAUACAUGCAAGUCGAGCGAACGGACGAGAAGCUUGCUUCUCUGAUGUUAGCGGCGGACGGGUGAGUAACACGUGGAUAACCUACCUAUAAGACUGGGAUAACUUCGGGAAACCGUAGCUAAUACCGGAUAAUAUUUUGAACCGCAUGGUUCAAAAGUGAAAGACGGUCUUGCUGUCACUUAUAGAUGGAUCCGCGCUGCAUUAGCUAGUUGGUAAGGUAACGGCUUACCAAGGCAACGAUGCAUAGCCGACCUGAGAGGGUGAUCGGCCACACUGGAACUGAGACACGGCCCAGACUCCUAAGGGAGGCAGCAGUAGGGAAUCUGCCGCAAUGGGCGAAAGCCUGACGGAGCAACGCCGCGUGAGUGAUGAAGGUCUUCGGAUCGUAAAACUCUGUUAUUAGUGAAGAACAUAUGUGUAAGUAACUGUGCACAUCUUGACGGUACCGAAUCAGAAAGCCACGGCUAACUACGU